AUUGAACGCUGGCGGCAGGCCUAACACAUGCAAGUCGAGCGAGCGGCGGACGGGUGAGUAAUGUCUGGGAAACUGCCUGAUGGAGGGGGAUAACUACUGGAAACGGUAGCUAAUACCGCAUACCAUCAGAUGUGCCCAGAUGGGAUUAGCUAGUAGGUGGGGUAAUGGCUCACCUAGGCGACGAUCCCUAGCUGGUCUGAGAGGAUGAACAGCCACACUGGAACUGUGAACAGGGCCAGACGCCUACGGGAGGCAUCAGUGGGGAAUAUUGCACAAUGGGCGCAAGCCUGAGGCAGCCAUGCCGCGUGUGUGAAGAAGGCCUGAGGGUUGUAAAGCACUUUCAUCGGGGAGGCGUUACCCGCAGAAGAAGCACCGGCUAACUCCGUGCCAGCCGCCGCGGUAAUAC
rnacentral:rRNA from 1 species